UCGCUGUGAUGAUGGAUUCCAAAACCAUUCGUAGUUUCCACCAGAAAUGCUUACUGUGUUGGCUAGUUCCUUCCUUGGAUGUCUGAGCGA